UGGGGAAUUUUGGACAAUGGGCGAAAGCCUGAUCCAGCAAUGCCGCGUGUGUGAAGAAGGCCUUCGGGUUGUAAAGCACUUUUGUCCGGAAAGAAAUCCUUGGCUCUAAUACAGUCGGGGGAUGACGGUACCGGAAGAAUAAGCACCGGCUAACUACGUGCCAGCAGCCGCGGUAAUACGUAGGGUGCAAGCGUUAAUCGGAAUUACUGGGCGUAAAGCGUGCGCAGGCGGUUUGCUAAGACCGAUGUGAAAUCCCCGGGCUCAACCUGGGAACUGCAUUGGUGACUGGCAGGCUAGAGUAUGGCAGAGGGGGGUAGAAUUCCACGUGUAGCAGUGAAAUGCGUAGAGAUGUGGAGGAAUACCGAUGGCGAAGGCAGCCCCUGGCCAAGUACUGACGCUCAUGCACGAAAGCGUGGGGAGCAAAACAGGAUUAGAUACCCUGGUAGUCCACGCCCUAAACGAUGUCAACUAGUUGUUGGGGAUUCAUUUCCUUAGUAACGUAGCUAACGCGUGAAGUUGACCGCCUGGGGAGUACGGUCGCAAGAUUAAAACUCAAAUGAAUUGACGGGGUCAUAGCUGUUUCCU
rnacentral:rRNA from 1 species